rnacentral:tRNA from 1 species
UGGUGGUACAGAUGGUUAAUGUGUUUGGCUGCUAACCAAAAGGUUGGAGGUUCAAGUCUCCCCA